CUAAAUGAUAUAAGGGAGUUCUGGACCAUAAAUAGAGAAAAUGGGCAGAACCUUCUUUUUUGGAGCAGCUAUAAUCUGAGCAUUGGCCUCAGCAUAUGAUGCCAUGUCACUGAUUGCUGCAUUGACCUUAUCAAGAAAAUGAAAAGUACUCACGAGGAUAAGGAAUCGAGCUCAUCGUCUGUUAUAAACCACAAUGGUGGAGGGGAACGACCCUUUUUCUCCUGCAAUAAUCGAAAAAAGCAAAAUUGAUUCUAAUAUAUACCAAUCUGUGUUUUGUCAAAGUUUCUCGAGGUACUGUUUUCCAAUUUCCAGGUUAAAGAUAAAGUUCUGUUUUUCCAAAAAGGAAAUUAUGCCAACAAUACGUCAUUAUGUCGAAACAUGAAUUAGAAAAUGGGCACAUUGAAGAGCACUUCACCAAUCUAUCUUAUUGCCUUGUAGUUUCAUCACCUAUUUGUAUAUGUGUAGAAUAGCACAAGUUCAAUACAUGAAUAAGGCAGCAGAUGUUUUGUGUUA